UGGGGAAUUUUGGACAAUGGACGCAAGUCUGAUCCAGCCAUGCCGCGUGCGGGAAGAAGGCCUUCGGGUUGUAAACCGCUUUUGUCAGGGAAGAAACGAGUUUCUCUAAUACAGAGACUUAAUGACGGUACCUGAAGAAUAAGCACCGGCUAACUACGUGCCAGCAGCCGCGGUAAUACGUAGGGUGCGAGCGUUAAUCGGAAUUACUGGGCGUAAAGCGUGCGCAGGCGGUUAUGUAAGACAGAUGUGAAAUCCCCGGGCUCAACCUGGGACCUGCAUUUGUGACUGUAUAGCUAGAGUACGGUAGAGGGGGAUGGAAUUCCGCGUGUAGCAGUGAAAUGCGUAGAUAUGCGGAGGAAUACCGGUGGCGAAGGCGGCCCCCUGGACAAAGACUGACGCUCAGGUGCGAAAGCGUGGGGAGCAAACA
rnacentral:rRNA from 1 species